rnacentral:lncRNA from 10 species
UGGCCCAGCCACAUCCUUUGCUCCGGCUCAGGAGACUGAGCGAAGGACAAACCAUCCGUAGACACGGUGCUCACAACUAGGAAGACCUUCCUGCCCCAGAGCUGCCUCUGUCUUUCCAGAAAAACAGGAGAUCUUUUCCUAUUAAGGCAAAGAGACUACACUGAGGAGUAUGACAAGUUUUCAGCUUGAGAAGGGCUUGCAUUCUGUAGGAGAAAUGAACAAACAGCAUUAAUGUUGAUGAUGCAACAUGGAACAAGUGCUAUGACAGAGAUUAAAAAACAAGUGCUUGUUCAUUUACUGGAAAGACAGAAGACCGAUUCAGCCUGGAAAGAAAAAUCCCUGAGAAGAUGGUAUGGACUAAACAAAUAAAUGGGAUUUUAACAAAUAAAGAAUAAAAAUUAUUUUAUUUUAUAAAGGGAGGCACAAUAAUCUAAUCUGAAUAUGAUUUGGAUGUGAGUAAGGGUUGCAGGAGGUGAGUAAGGGUUGCAGGAGAUGAGGGAGGGAGUAUGUAGAUAUCUGGGGUAAAAGCAUUUCUGGCUGAGAAGACAGCAAGUGCAAAUGCCCUGAGACAGGAUCAGGGCUUUUGAGGAAUCACAAAAAAACCCAAUGAUCUUGGAAUAGAAUGUGCAAGCCAAAGUGGGUCCAAGACCAGAUCAGAGUGAUGGGAAGCGGAGGGGGGCAGAAUAUGUAGAGCCUGGGAUGUCAUUGUAAGAACCUGGGCUUUUACUCUGAGUAAAAUAUGAAGUCAUUAGAACUUUUGGAACUAAAAAGGGGCAGAACUGUCUCUCUCACUGCUGUGUUGAGAAUAGAAUGAAAGGAUCAAGGACAUAAGUCGGAAGACCAGUCAGGAGACUAUGGCGGUAUUCCAGGUAAAACAUGAUGUGUCUCAGACAAGGGUGGUGGCAAAACUAGUGGGAUUCUUAAAUUUUGGAUGUGGGAUCAAUAAAAAUGUGUUGAUGGAUUGGAAGCAUAAGAGAAAGGGCACCCAGGAAUGACCUUAAGUUCUUGGCCUGAGCAACGGGGGAAAGGAGGUUGCCAAUAAUAACUGAGAACCUGAAGCUUGGAGGAGGAGUGAUACAGGGGACGAGCAGGAGCUCAGCUAUAGACACGCUAAAUUUGAGAUACGUUUUAGUCAUUGUUUGGUGAUAUCAGGUUGGCAAUUGGAUGUACUGGUCUAGAGUCCAGGGUGGGGUCUGGGCUGAAAAUGCAUACUUGGACAUCAUCAAUUUUUGACAAGAUGGCUUUAGAGCAUCAUAAUACACAUUUAGUUGAUUGUAGAAGGAAUAUAGAAUUGUGAUGCCAAAGUUUGUGGCUUGCUCCACCAUGAUGAAUUGCUUUCUAAAUGAUUUUAAUGUUCUCUGUGUUAUAAUGAUGUGGAAUGUUUAUUGGAAUUGCACAUUUGACCGUUAACUUACUUAAAGUGGUAAAACAUUUUUACUCUAAAAAUAAAAAAUUAAAACAAUCACACAUAGCCUACUGCCUAAGUGAUAAUCAUUGCUAAAAGUCUGCUAUAUUUCUUUCCCAUCUUUUUUCUUUGAGUGUUUCUAAAUGUGAAUUUUCUAAAAAGUCUAACAAAAUAAGUUGUUGAUAAGACAAAGCUGAGUUUUCUUUUUUUCAUCAACUUUUAUUUUAAGUUGCGGGGUACAUGUGCAGGAUGUGCAGGUUUCUUACAUAGGUAAACUUGUGCCAUAGUGAUUUGCUGCACAGAUCAACCCAUCACCUAAGUAUCAAGCCCAAUAGGCAUUACCUAUCCUUCCUGAUGCUCUUCCCCUACCCUGACAGGCCCUAGUGUAUGUUGUUCCCUGCAGUGUGUCCACAUGUUCUCAUCUUUCAGCUCCCACUUAUAUGUGAGAACAUGUGGUGUUUGGUUCUCUAUUCCUGCAUUGGUUUGCUGAGGAUAAUGUCUUCCAGCACCACCCUUGCCCUUGCAAAGGACAUGAUCUCAUUCUUUUUUAUGGCUGCAUAGUAUUCCAUGGUGUACAUGUACUACAUUUUCUUUAUCCAGUCUAUCAUUGCUGGGCAUUUGGGUUAAUUCCAUGUCUUUGCUAUUGUGAAUAGUGCUGCAAUGAGCAUACCUAUGCAUGUAUCUUUAUAAUAGAAUGAUUUACAUUCCUUUGGGUAUAUACCC